CCUACGGGUGGCAGCAGUGGGGAAUAUUGCGCAAUGGGCGAAAGCCUGACGCAGCGACGCCGCGUGAGGGAUGAAGGUCUUCGGAUCGUAAACCUCUGUCAGCAGGGAAGAACGGUCACUGUGCUAAUCAGCAGUGAAUUGACGGUACCUGCAAAGGAAGCACCGGCUAACUCCGUGCCAGCAGCCGCGGUAAUACGGAGGGUGCGAGCGUUAAUCGGAAUUACUGGGCGUAAAGCGCUCGUAGGCGGUAUGUCAAGUCAAGGGUGAAAUCCCCGCGCUCAACGUGGGAACUGCCUUUGAAACUGGCAAACUGGAGUGUGGGAGAGGAUAGUGGAAUUCCAGGUGUAGGAGUGAAAUGCGUAGAUAUCUGGAGGAACAUCAGUGGCGAAGGCGACUAUCUGGCACAUAACUGACGCUGAGGAGCGAAAGCGUGGGUAGCAAACAGGAUUAGAUACCCUAGUAGUC
rnacentral:rRNA from 1 species